rnacentral:misc_RNA from 1 species
AUGUGAAAUAUCGGCCGACAAAUCGGCCGAUGUGAAAUAUUUGCCUUCGGCAAAUGUGAAAUAUUCGGCUGCCGCCGAAUGUGUGAUUUACU